rnacentral:RNase_P_RNA from 3 species
AUGGUAAAUAAGGCAAUCGCUUGGCCUCGCCAAGAGGAAAGUCCGGACUCAUAACGAAGGAGAUACCAUACGAGAUGAAUCAAGUAUGGGGAAUGUAAGUUCACGGAAAGUGCCACAGAAAAUAACCGCCUUAUAAAAUUUUGUAAGGCAAGGGUGAAAAUGUGCGGUAAGAGCGCACGGAUAAUGUCAGCGAUGAUAUUAUGGGGUAAACCCUAUCUCGAGCAAGGCAAAAUAGGUGCAAACGAUUCUUCGUUUCGGUUUAAUGCACGGGUAUGCCGCAAAGAUAUAUGAUUGCCGUUUUAUAUGAAUAUAUAAAAAACAGAAUCCGGCUUAUUGUUUGCCAUUAUU